GACGAACGCUGGCGGCGUGCUUAACACAUGCAAGUCGAACGGUGAAGCGCCUUCCUUUUUGGUGGGUGUGGAUGAGUGGCGAACGGGUGAGUAACACGUGAGUAACCUGCCCCCUUCUUCUGGAUAACCGCAUGAAAGUGUGGCUAAUACGGGAUAUUCUGGGUCUGUCGCAUGAUGGGUCUGGGAAAGAUAUUGUUUCGGUGGGGGAUGGGCUCGCGGCCUAUCAGCUUGUUGGUGGGGUGAUGGCCUACCGAGGCGGUGACGGGUAGCCGGCCUGAGAGGGUGGACGGUCACACUGGGACUGAGACACGGCCCAGACUCCUACGGGAGGCAGCAGUGGGGAAUAUUGCACAAUGGGCGCAAGCCUGAUGCAGCGACGCCGCGCGAGGGAUGGAGGCCUUCGGGUUGUGAACCUCUUUCGCCAGUGAAGCAGGCCUGCCUCGUUUGUGGGUGGGUUGACGGUAGCUGGAUAAGAAGCGCCGGCUAACUACGUG
rnacentral:rRNA from 1 species